rnacentral:rRNA from 1 species
AGUCGAACGAUGAUGCCCAGCUUGCUGGGCGGAUUAGUGGCGAACGGGUGAGUAACACGUGAGUAACCUGCCCUUGACUUCGGGAUAACUCCGGGAAACCGGGGCUAAUACCGGAUAUGAGCCGCCUUCGCAUGGGGGUGGUUGGAAAGUUUUUCGGUCAGGGAUGGGCUCGCGGCCUAUCAGCUUGUUGGUGGGGUGAUGGCCUACCAAGGCGACGACGGGUAGCCGGCCUGAGAGGGCGACCGGCCACACUGGGACUGAGACACGGCCCAGACUCCUACGGGAGGCAGCAGUGGGGAAUAUUGCACAAUGGGCGAAAGCCUGAUGCAGCGACGCCGCGUGAGGGAUGAAGGCCUUCGGGUUGUAAACCUCUUUCAGCAGGGAAGAAGCGCAAGUGACGGUACCUGCAGAAGAAGCGCCGGCUAACUACGUGCCAGCAGCCGCGGUAAUACGUAGGGCGCAAAGCGUUGUCCGGAAUUAUUGGGCGUAAAGAGCUCGUAGGCGGUUUGUUCGCGUCUGGUGUGAAAACUCGAGGCUCAACCUCGAGCUUUGCAUCGGGUACGGGCAGACUAGAGUGCGGUAGGGGAGACUGGAAUUCCUGGUGUAGCGGUGGAAAUGCGCAGAUAUCAGGAGGAACACCGAUGGCGAAGGCAGGGUCUCUGGGUCCGCAACUGAACGCUGAGGAAGCGAAAGCAUGGGGAGCGAACAGGGAUUAGAUACCCCCUGGUAGCUCCAUGCCGUUAUAACGUU